rnacentral:rRNA from 1 species
AUUGAACGCUGGCGGCAGGCUUAACACAUGCAAGUCGAGCGAGCGGCGGACGGGUGAGUAAUGUCUGGGAAACUGCCUGAAGGAGGGGGAUAACUCCUGGAAACGGUAGUUAAUACCGCAUACCAUCAGAUGUGCCAAGAUGGGAUUAGCUAGUGGGUGGGGUAAUGGCUAACCUAGGCGACGCGCCCUAGCUGGUCUGAGAGGCUGAACAGCCACACUGGAACUGAGACACGGUCCAGACUCCUACGGGAGGCAGCAGUGGGGAAUAUUGCACAAUGGGCGCAAGCCUGAUGCAGCCAUGCCGCGUGUGUGAUGAAGGCCUUCGGGUUGUAAAGCACUGUCAGCGAGGAGGCGUUACUCGCAGAAGAAGCACCGGCUAACUCCGUGCCAGCAGCCGCGGUAAUUC